GCCCAUCUCUCUCCAGCCUUCCUGCCCGCAUGCAGCCCUCGCCCUCGGCACCGCACGGGCCAGGCCCUCUCUCCUCGGUUAUGGCCACCAUGGAGAACCUGACCCGUAGGGCAUACCCUCCUCCUCUGAUGCGUAACACCCAUCCCUGCCCCGGCGGCUGGGAUCAUGUCCGCCAUCAUGAGCAGGUGCUCCGCAUCCGAGUGCACCGACUCAGAGGUAGAGGUUGGGCUGUAGUUCUUGGACGCCAAGGAAGAACGCAAGUUGUUGCCGCCGCCGAAGAUGAAAACUGGUGGUAACUGGUGAUGGAACUCUAUCCUACGCGCAUAGCAGUGAUGGAACAUAGCGUACUUUCACCCUUUUUUCCAGAUCGAGAUGGUGGAGGCAGCCAGUGUCGUGGCCGAGCGCUGGGGAGCUUGUCGGUGUUUUGAUGGAGAAGGUCGGCCGCCUCCUCUCCCCACCAAGUCUCUUUGGCCCAUAGAUCGAGUUCAUGGUUGAUAAGGAAGGUGUGGUCGAUUUCACCAGGCUGGGUCCGAAGGUCCCGAAGUCCUAUGGCAUGAACUGGCCACGGCGCAUCCGGCUGGAUGCACUUGCUCAACACCUUUCCAUCUCUGUACAAUCAGGUAGAUAUUUUCUCACGUGCCAAAUAUUAUUUUUAGGUUGCCAAAUAGUAGUCUAGGAACUAUAGAAAGUGGAUUGCUGAGUUUGCCAAGCAUAAUAGCACACCUAUUAUCAGAUGACCUGAAGAGUAUAUCAAGCAAAGAUGCUUUCAGAUUUAUGCAUGCCUAUAUUAGGUUCCUACUUGUGUGAAGAUAACACUUUGCAUCAGGCUUGUGAGCAACCGUAAGUUGUUUUGCAUGUGAUACUACUUGUGUGAUUAUUUUUACCUUCGGAAAAUUUCCUUCUUAUUAUAUAUCAUAUGGAAUUCUUCAACCAGAGGAGAGCAACUCAAUGAGUUUGCAUACAUUCAGCCAUCUAUGUUGAUGCAACUCAACUAACAAAGAGUAUUUAAGAAAAGACUGCAGUUUGUAAAGCCAGUGGACAAAUUAGUUCUGCACAGUCCGGCAUUAGCGGCGUGCAUGCAGUAAUUCAUCAAUGUUGGGGGUCAGUGCUA